AUACCUCUGGCAUCGCUACCUAGCAUUUCUGUCUCGCUAAAAGCCCGAGUUGCUGAUGAGAUCUCAGUAAACGUGAAGCGGCGGGGCUUGUUUGGAGGCCUGGGACGUUGCGUUUUCUCCGGAAUCGCUGUAAGUUUUGAAUUGUCAUUCCUUCCCCUGCGACUACAGAAAAUGAAACCGAUCAUGGUAGCCAAAGCUAGUACAGCCACGGCAAUGAAAAUAAAAAAACUGCUGGACGGUUCUUUAUUAGAUCUCUUUUGGGUAGUUUGACUUUGAGCGGCCUCAGAUUUACGGAGGGUGAUUUUGCUCUCACAGGUUUCCUCCGAAGGGAAACGAAGAAAAGCUUGGCUCGUUGCGCUGAAGUUCCAGGAGAGUACGUUAUGAAUUUGCGUCUUGUUGCCUGUAGAUGCUGAGAAUCCAAUGAACAUGUACUCAUUCAGAUGAGGAGAG
rnacentral:lncRNA from 1 species